rnacentral:tRNA from 1 species
ACUGUUUUGGCAGAUAAUAUGCGUUGGAUUUAGGAUCCUAUAAAAUAGAUUUAAUCUAUAAAUAGUU